rnacentral:tRNA from 1 species
GGGGUUGUGGCUCAGCGGUAGAGUGCUUACCUGACACGUGUGAGGCCCUGGGUUCAAUCCUCAGCACCACA